AAUAUGUUACCUCCGUCUCAAAUUACUUGUCUUAAAUUUUGUCUAGCUACGGAUGUAUCUAACACUAAAACGUGUCUACAUACAUCCGUAUCUAGAAAAAUCUAAGACAAGUAAUUCGGGACAGAGGGAGUGUCAG
rfam:Triticum aestivum genome assembly, contig: Triticum_aestivum_CS42_TGACv1_scaffold_526369_6DL